CAGGUCCGAAGAGGGAAAACGGUAGGGAGCCUGCCUGGGCGACGACCCGGAUGUCAAUGAAAAGGAAGUGACGUUUCUGAGCGACGACCUAAGGAAGGAAAUCGGGCGCUUUGGGAGUCCCCAGAUAGCAGGCCUACGGUCACUAAGAAGUGAUGCCCUCCCUGAAUAUCCUGGUUCCAUUUCACAGGACGGACCCAUGGGGACCAUGACUGUUCACCUCUGUAUCACUUAGCCAGGGCUCUCAGUGUUGAAUUAAUUUCAUAUAAGAGCUGGACAACACCUUAGAGAUCAAAAAUCUCUCCGUGCCUCAGUUUCCUCAUCUGUAAAAUGAGAGGAUUGGACUUGAUGGCCUAUAAAGGUCCCUUCCUGCUUUAAAUCUAUGUUCCUGUGAUGAACACCAAUUAAGGUCCUCCAGAGCAGGGAUUCUGUGUCACUUUUUAUAUUUAUGCCCUCAGCACUUAACAACUUAACCUGGAAUUUAGGUGCCAGAGGGAUAGGGACUGGACCUGUGAUUUCAUUGAAAUAUCAAAUUGGUAUAUCCUUCCAGAGGAGGGAAUUCCAUCUGCAAAUGCAAGUUGACACCUUCUCUGCAACUUAAGGUUUUAGAGUUGCCUAGAGCACUGGAGAGGUUGAGUGACUUGUGUUCAGGGUCAAAUCACCAGUAAGUGUCAAGGCUGGGACUUGAAGCCAAGUCUUUUUGGCUCAGAGGCUCACUCUGUUCACUCUUUGCCCCGAACAAAAAUGCUUAUUAACAUUUAAUAAUGGGCGCUUCCUCAUGGGCCUUUUGGGCCUUAAUUGCCACCUCCAUAAAAUGAAGAGUUUAGAAUAAUUGAACUAGAUGGUUUCUAAAGUUCCCUAGCAGCUCUGACAUUUUUGGUUAUAUUUCCUAAGAUGCCUUCUUUCUCUGACAGCCUGUGACUUGAAGCACAAUUUUACUACUUUACAUGCUAAUUAAGGGUUAAACUUUUUUGUAUCCUUGAUUUUACAUUGCAUUAUUGUUGAUUGUAUUUGGUUUUAUUUUAGUGUCUUCCAAUCUAUGGGCCUUGGGUCCCAGGUUAGGGCGUGGGAGUCAUGGAGUUAUUGCAAGAGGUUCACUUUAUUGCUUAAAUAAGAAAAUGGAAAAUUAAUAAAUAACAAGCAAUCUGUUUCAUACA